GGGGAAUUUUGCGCAAUGGGCGAAAGCCUGACGCAGCAACGCCGCGUGGAGGAUGAAGGUCUUCGGAUCGUAAACUCCUGUCCUCGGGGAAAAAGGAAGUGAUGGUACCCGGGGAGGAAGCCCCGGCUAACUCCGUGCCAGCAGCCGCGGUAAUACGGGGGGGGCAAGCGUUGUUCGGAAUUACUGGGCGUAAAGGGCGCGUAGGCGGCCUGGGAAGUUCUGGGUGAAAGCCCCCGGCUCAACCGGGGAAGUGCCUGGGAAACCACUGGGCUGGAGUGCUGGAGAGGGAAGCGGAAUUCCUGGUGUAGCGGUGAAAUGCGUAGAGAUCAGGAGGAACACCGGUGGCGAAGGCGGCUUCCUGGACAGACACUGACGCUGAGGCGCGAAAGCCAGGGGAGCAAAC
rnacentral:rRNA from 1 species